rnacentral:misc_RNA from 1 species
UCCGGCUUAUCACCGGCGGUUUCUUUAGAGUGCCCAACUAAAUGAUGGCAACUAAAGACGAGGGUUGCGCUCGUUGCGGGACUUAACUCAACAUCUCACGGCACGAGCUGACGACAGCCAUGCAGCACCUGUACAAGUUCCUCUUGCGAGACAAUGGCUUUCACCAAAUUUAACUUGCGUUUCAAGCCUAGGUAAGGUUCUUCGCGUUGCAUCGAAUUAAACCACAUGCUCCACUGCUUGUGCGGGCCCCCGUCAAUUCCUUUGAGUUUCAACCUUGCGAUCGUACUUCCCAGGUGGAGAACUUAAUGCGUUAGCUUCGUUACCAAGGAAUUGCUUCCCCGACAACCAGUUGACAUAGUUUAGGGCGUGGACUAC